AAGUCGUAACAAGGUUUCCGUAGGUGAACCUGCGGAAGGAACGACCAACCUGUGCAACCAUUGCGUGUUGAGCCCAUGGGCGUCGUAUUUUUGAAAUACUUGAACAACUGUUAACAAUGGAUAUCUUGGUUCUC
rnacentral:misc_RNA from 1 species